AGUCACACAUCUUCAUUCCCAAACAACACAUCCUGCCUUCAGGUUAUUACUAUUCGGCUAAUUAAACAGGAACAAAAGGCUUUUAGUACAAACAGAGUGCCAACAACAAACCUACCAGCUGAGUCCCCGGUGCUGAUCCAGUCCGGGUUGGCGAUGCUGGCGAUAGCGAAGAUGUCUGCAGCGAGGAAGAGACAUCCUGAUAUCACGGCCCAAAACCACACUGUCUGGACUCAGCCAACCCCGGCUCAGCCAUCCUCAUCACUGCCCAACAUACAUGGACGUCCUGGUAGGAGUGGGCAGCCCCUGGAGAGAGCUUGAGGCCAGCCAGGGGCUGGGCAAGGGACUGGCCUGUUCUGGCAGCCGCAUAGAAUCGUCUCUGUGAAGAAGAAAGACAUGUCAGCAACCACUGACCUGCACAUCCUGUGGCUGUAACUUAACGUGUUCGGCGGCACCAGUGAACUCCACCUUACGGGCAGCCUGGGCCGCGUAAAGCCUUGUCUGGAAAAACAGAGAACAUGGGAGGGCGAGACAUUACAACUAAUGUGUUGCUGGCUUGCUCAGCUGAUGCGAGGGCAUGAAAGAUUAUGCAAUGAAUGGCGUUAGUUUUCUUAACAUGAAUUCUGUCCACAUAUGCUUCUCAUACACAACAUAUUUUCACAAAACUAAUCAAUUUAUUCAGUUUGCAUCCUCACAUGGUACAUAAGUGUAGCUGGACACCCUGCACUGCUUCUUCUGUGCUGGUAAAGUACUGUAUGUUUUGGUACAACUCUUACAGUAGACCAUGCAUAAAACUGACCAACUGCCCCUGAACGGAUUUCUGACACAUGACAAAGUAAUUCACCACAUAUAGUGUCUCUUCAGGAGCUUUCCCAUGAUCUACAUCAUCAACUCCAUCUGCUGAUGAAAAUCAUAUAAUAUGUUCUAAAGCUCAUGAACUACCUACUAAAUAGACCUGCUGGUCUUCCAAGGUAAAUUAUUUCAGACUUUUGACAGCCAAUGUGAAAUCAGUCACAAAUAACUUUAGGUUUAUUUGUAGGCUAUUUUAAUACGCACAUUAAAAGCCUUGUGUUCUUAUUUCAGUACACAUAGGCAACGUUACCAAUUCUCCAUGUUGAAAAUAUAUUUUGAUAUUUUUGUGU